rnacentral:rRNA from 1 species
CCUACGGGAGGCAGCAGUGGGGAAUUUUGGACAAUGGGGGCAACCCUGAUCCAGCCAUGCCGCGUGAGUGAAGAAGGCCUUCGGGUUGUAAAGCUCUUUCAGACGGAAAGAAAUCGGGUGGGUGAACAUCCUGCUUGGAUGACGGUACUGUCAGAAGAAGCACCGGCUAACUACGUG